rnacentral:lncRNA from 1 species
GGAGACGGUCCUUCUAGAACUUAAGCAAGACCUGCCUCCUCAGUCCUGAGCCCCCCAGAGGGCCCCACUUGUGAAUCCUGUUGCUGCUCUUUCUCUGGAAACUUCCCUUUGGCCCUUUGGGACCAAGGUCUGCGGUUCCCCAGAGCUCGGAGCCUCACCCUUAAAUUUCCUGACUUCCUCAGAGGUUGUUGCUUUUCAUCUAAGAGACCUCUGCGCUUGUCCUCUCUCCCCUUGUCUUUUAUUUCCAUUUCCUCCCAGCGUGAGUCACGUCCCUGAGCUGGUAGCUACCUUCCAAUUACUUGUAGGUGAAUUCCAGGUCAUUUGUCUUUGGAGACUUACUCCCAAGCCACGAUCUGAGUUCUCCUCCCUCCGGGCCUUUGCAGAUCCUUCCACCCAGAAUGCCCUCUCUUCGAGCAUCUGUUCCUCUGUCCUUCCAGCUCCGUUCCUGCCUUCUCCAGGAAGCCUCUGAAGUCCCAGGGCUUGGAGGGAUUUUGACCUGUGUCUUCCUUCCUCUCUGAGGCCACGAGGUCUGUUACCUGUUUAUGAUACGGGUCGGGACCAGGCUGGGUCCUUCUCUAGGGCUGCCCAUCCUGGUCCCCAGCUUUGCUGAGCACAGGAGCAGCUGUCCAUCUCUGUGCCUCAGUUUCCUCAGCUGCUUCUGACUCCAUGAGGCAUGUGCGGAAGCAAAGGAUUUGGCUUCGUUCUCAGGCCUGAAGCCAUGAAAUGCCUGAACAUUGUGGGGAACAAAGAAAAUACCGUCUGUUCUGUUCAGAGAGUGACUUUUUCUUAUUACCAACAAAAUAUUUAAAAAAAAAUAAGUAUCUGGGAUAGGUGCUGGAAAGGCCAAGUUGUCUGGAAACUGCUCACAGUUUGCCAAGGACUGGGCUGGCUGCAGAGCUGGGGCCAUGUGGCUAUUCUAGGGGGGUGGUUGGGCAAGGGGCCCAGGCAGACUUUGCUCCUUAUGUGGGCAGAAACAAGAAUGUGAGAGAGAGUGCAGAGUUGAGUUGCUUCCCUGGACACCCCCCCUCUCAGGCCUCUGGGAGGUGUAAGGACAGGGCUGGCCUGGAGCAAACUCGACCUGAAGCUGUCUCAGCCAAGUGCAAGCCGAGGGAGUAGCUUCCUCAGUGUAGCCCUCAGUUUCCUAGCCUGGAGAACGGGCUGAUGGUCGCAGGGCUGGAGGUGGAGGGGAAGGGCAGGGAAUGUCCAGGCAGUAUCUGUCCCCUGGGUGUAGACAGGUAGGGGGCUGCCCAGAGCUCAGACUGAGCCCUCUUCUGCCUGGGACUUGAGGCCUCUCUUCCAGGAAUGGGAAUGUCCUUAAAGGGCAGGCAGUGGUCACCACCUGAAGGCAGCUGACUAGAUGUGACAGCUGGGGGCGCAGGAGUGGUGCCAGGGAAUGACCUUCGUAUUAUAGGAGGGACCAAGAAAGGACCAGGACAGCUCACUCGGCACUAGUGAAGCUGCAUCUGCAGUGGCAGCUACUUAGCCAGCUCUGUCUCUGCCUGGUUAAAUCUGACUCAGUCGUUGGACCAAAGCUAAAUUGCCUCUCCUUUCCCGAGGGUUCCUACCCAACAGAGUAGGAGAGGUCCAGUCACUCUUCCCCAAAGCUGUGUGUCCAGCCUCCUGGUGUGGGCCUCAGCCACCACCUCGGACCUGAUUACUUCACUUCUUACACGUUCAGUCCCAGCACCUAGAGCAAGCCUAGCCGGCAGCAGUGUCCAUAGGUGCUUUCAGAAAGUGGGUAUCCCUAGGCCCCAGCCUUGGACCUCCAUGGCCUCCAGAGUCACACGAGCCAGCCUUGCCUCUUACUAGCAGUGCAACUCUGAAGUCACUUUCCUCUCUGUGUGCCUCAGUUUCCCCACUUAUAAAUUGGGCAUUAUAUGUGGUGCCCAAUUCUGAGGUUUACAGUAAGGAUCCAAUGAAUUCUUAUGUAAAGAGAGCAUGACCUUAGGUGCUUAAUAAAUGCUUGCUGUUAUAAACAUUGGUGAUAUAUGGUUUUGAUCCUG